GACGAACGCUGGCGGCGUGCCUAAUACAUGCAAGUCGAGCGGACCACUUCGGUGGUCAGCGGCGGACGGGUGAGUAACACGUGGGCAACCUGCCUGUAAGACUGGGAUAACACCGGGAAACCGGUGCUAAUACCGGAUAAUCCUUUCCUUCACAUGAAGGAAAGCUGAAAGACGGUUUCGGCUGUCACUUACAGAUGGGCCCGCGGCGCAUUAGCUAGUUGGUGAGGUAACGGCUCACCAAGGCAACGAUGCGUAGCCGACCUGAGAGGGUGAUCGGCCACACUGGGACUGAGACACGGCCCAGACUCCUACGGGAGGCAGCAGUAGGGAAUCUUCCGCAAUGGACGAAAGUCUGACGGAGCAACGCCGCGUGAGCGAUGAAGGCCUUCGGGUCGUAAAGCUCUGUUGUCAGGGAAGAACAAGUACUGGAGUAACUGCCGGUACCUUGACGGUACCUGACCAGAAAGCCACGGCUAACUACGUGCCAGCCGCCGCAGUAACAC
rnacentral:rRNA from 1 species